rnacentral:rRNA from 1 species
UUCCCGGGCCUUGUACACACCGCCCGUCACACCAUGAGAGUUGGGAAUACCCGAAGCCUGUGAGCUAACGUUAAGAGGCAGCAGUCGAAGGUAGAAUCAAUGAUUGGGGUGAAGUCGUAACAAGGUAAC